UACGUAGGGUGCGAGCGUUAAUCGGAAUUACUGGGCGUAAAGUGUGCGCAGGCGGCCGAGCAAGUCGAGUGUGAAAGCCCCGGGCUUAACCUGGGAACUGCGCUCGAAACUACUUGGCUUGAGUGUGGCAGAGGGAGGUGAAAUUCCACGUGUAGCGGUGAAAUGCGUAGAGAUGUGGAGGAACACCGAUGGCGAAGGCAGCCUCCUGGGCCAACACUGACGCUCAUGCACGAAAGCGUGGGGAGCAAACAGG
rnacentral:rRNA from 1 species